ensembl:lncRNA
AUGCAAUUUAUGUUUGUGUGUUCAGAGGUAGCGGCGAGAGGUGGGACCUCGACUCAUCCAGCUGGAGAGCCUGAUCAGGAGGCGUCGAACAUUAACUCUGCUCUUCCAGGGCACCCUGCAGACUCGGCUGCUGGCAACAGCGAGGGAGUGUGGCCGUCGCUGGGAUGGCGUGAACGCCAAACAGGAGUCCAUCACAGGUCGACUGCAGCUCCUUGUCUCAGAGUGGGAGGGAUUUGAAGCACAAAGGGAGGACCGUGUCGUUUGCUUGGCUGAUAUGGAUGUCCACCUGAGUGAGGUUGACCAGCUGACAGGAAACACCUGUGAAAAGCUGAAACAACUGCAGGUGUUGGGGUUGUUUUGAUAUGACAUAUAUUUGAUAUGAUACAUACGUCAAGAGACAUUAUCCUAAACUGGACUAACAAAGAACCAUGAGUCCAACAUGAAACUUACCUUGCAUAAGGUAAGGCUGAAGUUCAUUGAUAAUUUUAAUCAAAAACUUGUUGUUGAAAUAUUUUUACUGAACAUGCAAACAUCUGCUGAUGAAAAUGUCUUGAUUUAUUGGUCUGUUAUGAAGCUAUUGCUAUUUCUAAUAUGUUUGAUCACUUUCUGAUGUUUUAUUCAAUUCAAUUCAAUUUUAUUUAUAUAGCGCCAAAUCACAACAAAAGUCGCCUCAAGGCGCUUUAUAUUGUACAGUAGAUCGCACAAUAAUAAAUACAGAGAAAAACCCAACAAUCAUAUGACCCCCUAUGAGCAAGCACUUUGGCGACAGUGGGAAGGAAAAACUCCCUUUUAACAGGAAGAAACCUCCGGCAGAACCAGGCUCAGGGAGGGGCGGGGCCAUCUGCUGCGACCGGUUGGGGUGAAAGAAGGAAAACAGGAUGAAAGACGUGCUGUGGAAGAGAGACAGAGGUUAAUAACAGAUAUGAUUCGAUGCAGAGAGGUAUAUUAACACAUAGUGAGUGAGAAAGGUGACUGGAAAGGAAAAACUCAAUGCAUCAUGGGAAUCCCCGGCAGCCUACGUCUAUUGCAGCAUAACUAAGGCAGGAUUCAGGGUCACCUGGUCCAGCCCUAACUAUAUGCUUUAGCAAAAAGGAAAGUUUGAAGCCUAAUCUUGAAAGUAGAGAUAGUGUCUGUCUCCUGAAUCCAAACUGGAAGCUGGUUCCACAGAAGAGGGGCCUGAAAACUGAAGGCUCUGCCUCCCAUUCUACUUUUAAAUACUCUAGGAACUUAUUAAUUAAACAAUACAUGUAUUAAUUGUUGUGUUAUCUAUAGAUAUAGUAUUUACAUAUAUUUAUUUAUAGUAUAGUAAAAAUGUUUAAUUAUUAUUGUUUAAAUGACUAAUAUGUGACAUGUAUUAGUAGUGAUGUUGUGCUGAGGGUUAAAAUGCCUUUUUGUCUUUUGCUAUAUUACGAAAUGUCAAUAAACCGUUAAUAUAUGUCUAUGCUGUGCUCGUAUUUAUUUUACCCUACUCAAAUUCAAUUUAUGAUACAUUUUAUUUUGAAAGAUUUAUAAUGGUUCUUUAAAGAACCAUUUUAAAAAAGGUUCUUUGAAAAACCAUUAAAGGUGCCCCAAAGAACCAUUUCUUGAUGGUCCUUUGGGGCACCUUUAAAGGUUCUUCAAUGAACCACUGAAAGAAAUGGUUCUUCAAAGAACCAUUGUUUGAAAGGUUCUUUGUGGCACCAAAAAAGGUUCUUCUAUGGCAUCAGUCUAAAGAACCACUUUUGGUUCCAGUUGGCACCUUUAUUUUUCUGAGUGUAGAGUAAACCAUUUCACCAGUACUACUCCUCUCUUGCCUUUUCCGCCUCCUCCUCUCCACCUUUUUCCCUUCUUUCCCUCCUGUUGUCUCCACUCCCUCCUAUCUGAGAAUCCUCCUUAACUUCCUGUCCCUCCUCAUUCCUCCUCUCAGCUUCUACAGCCUGAAUUCCUUCAUCACGUUCUUCCUCUCCCCUCUUAGAAAAACCAUAGUGGGGGUUGUCUUAAAGGACAAUCCAAUCUAUUAUUGCUAUCAAUAAAUUAUUUUUGCUUAACUGCUUCCCAACUCAUAAGCCUACACCUCCCAUCAUAAUCCAAACAUGAGUGCACAAAACACUUACAGAGCGUUACAGUUACAGAGCGACUUGUUUAUCUGUUGACUGACUAAAAAUAUGAUCAUAUUUAUCAUUUAGACUGCAGAAGACAAAUUAUAUUACUUUACCCCUAACCAGCAGAUGAGGUUUUGCUUUAAAAAUAUAAAGAUAUAAAAAUAUAUAAUAUAAAGAUAUAUAAUGAAAGAUAUAUAAGUCAGAUAUAUAAGAUAUAUAAGUCAGCAUCGGCGAUGACCCUAAACCCUAACCAUAACCUUUAUCUUUUGGAGAAAAUGUCAUUUUUGAUGCAUGUUAGUAGGAAUCGUU